rnacentral:ncRNA from 1 species
UGAAAGUUUUAUUUUAGCUUAAAAAAUUUAUUAUUAGUUUAUUUUACAUAUAAAUUUUUGUGUUAUAAAUUAAAUAUUUUAAAAUUAUUUAAUUUAUAAAUUUAAUAGUAGUAAAUUAUAUUAUGAGUUAUAAAAGAAAUUUUGAUUUAGUAAUUUAUAUAAUAUUAGUAAAAAUUGUGCCAGCAUCUGCGGUUAUACAAUUAAUAUGAAUAAAUUUUAUUAAUUAAAGUUAAAAUUUGUUUUUAAUUUUUUUUUUAAUUUAUUAAGUUAAAUUUUAAAUUUAUUUAAAAUUAUUUAUUAUUAAAUUUUAUACUUGAAAAUUUUAUUAAUAAACUAGGAUUAGAUACCCUAUUAUUUAAAAUGUAAUUUUAUAAAAUUAAAUUAGUAUUAGUUAUGUUCUUGAAAAUUAAUAAAUUUGGCGGUAUUUUAUUCUAUUCAGAGGAAUUUGUUUUGUAAUUGAUAAUACACAUUUAAUCUUACUUAAUUUAUUAAAAUUUGUAUAUCGUCGUCAUAAGAAUAUCUUAAAAGAGAUUAAAUAUUCUAAAAUUUUAAAUAAAAAUUAUGUCAGAUCAAGGUGCAGUUUAUGAUUAAGAAAAAAUGAAUUACAAUAAAAUUAUUUAUAUGAAUAUGUUUUUUAAAAAAAAUAUUAAAGGUGGAUUUGAUAGUAAAUUUAUCAAUAUAAAUAAAUUAAAUAUAGUUUUAAAAUAUGCACAUAUCGCCCGUCGCUCUUAUUUAUAUAUAAGAUAAGUCGUAACAUAGUAAAAGUACUGGAAAGUGCUUUUAGAUU